rnacentral:rRNA from 1 species
GCAUAUCAAUAAGCGGAGGAAAAAGAAACCAACCGGGAUUGCCUCAGUAACGGCGAGUGAAGCGGCAAGAGCUCAAAUUUGAAAGCUGGCCCCCUCGGGGUCCGCGUUGUAAUUUGCAGAGGAUGCUUCGGGUGCGGCCCCUGUCUAAGUGCCCUGGAACGGGCCGUCAGAGAGGGUGAGAAUCCCGUCUUGGGCAGGGUGCCCGUGCCCGUGUGAAGCUCCUUCGACGAGUCGAGUUGUUUGGGAAUGCAGCUCUAAAUGGGUGGUAAAUUUCAUCUAAAGCUAAAUACCGGCCGGAGACCGAUAGCGCACAAGUAGAGUGAUCGAAAGAUGAAAAGCACUUUGAAAAGAGAGUUAAACAGCACGUGAAAUUGUUGAAAGGGAAGCGCUUGCGACCAGACUCGGCCCCGGGGUUCAGCCAGCACUCGUGCUGGUGUACUUCCCCGGGGGCGGGCCAGCGUCGGUUUGGGCGGCCGGUCAAAGGCCCCAGGAAUGUAUCGCCCUCCGGGGUUGUCUUAUAGCCUGGGGUGCAAUGCGGCCAGCCCGGACCGAGGAACGCGCUUCGGCACGGACGCUGGCGUAAUGGUCGCAAACGACCCGUCUUGAAACACGGACCAAGGAGUCUAACAUCUACGCGAGUGUUCGGGUGUCAAACCCGUACGCGCAGUGAAAGCGAACGGAGGUGGGAGCCCCCCCGGGGCGCACCAUCGACCGAUCCUGAUGUCUUCGGAUGGAUUUGAGUAAGAGCGUAGCUGUGGGGACCCGAAAGAUGGUGAACUAUGCCUGAAUAGGGCGAAGCCAGAGGAAACUCUGGUGGAGGCUCGCAGCGGUUCUGACGUGCAAAUCGAUCGUCAAAUUUGGGGUAUAGGGGCGAAAGACUAAUCGAACUAUCUGGUAGCUGGUUCCUGCCGAA